rnacentral:rRNA from 1 species
CCUACGGGGAGCAGCAGUGAGGAAUAUUGGUCAAUGGACGAGAGUCUGAACCAGCCAAGUAGCGUGAAGGAUGACUGCCCUAUGGGUUGUAAACUUCUUUUAUAUGGGAAUAAAAUGUUCCACGUGUGGGAUUUUGUAUGUACCAUAUGAAUAAGGAUCGGCUAACUCCGUGCCAGCAGCCGCGGUAAUACGGAGGAUCCGAGCGUUAUCCGGAUUUAUUGGGUUUAAAGGGAGCGUAGGUGGAUUGUUAAGUCAGUUGUGAAAGUUUGCGGCUCAACCGUAAAAUGGCAGUUGAAACUGGCAGUCUUGAGUACAGUAGAGGUGGGCGGAAGUCGUGGUGUAGCGGUGAAAUGCUUAGAUAUCACGAAGAACUCCGAUUGCGAAGGCAGUUCACUGGACUGCAACUGACACUGAGGCUCGAAAGUGUGGGUAUCAAACAGGAUUAGAUACCCCUGUAGUC